rnacentral:lncRNA from 1 species
GCUGUCAGAAUUAUCAUUCAUAACAUGUUGAUUUAGUUGUGUCUUUCUGAUAAUAAUAAGGUUGGCCAAGCCACACUCGAACCUGGUCACUCAUUUGUUAGAUGUACUAAAUUUUGAUAUGUUAAUGGUUAGACCUAACCAAAACUUUUAGUGGAGGCGCCAUACGCCUGCUGAAGAUGUGUCUAGGGCAAAAUUGAAUACUAAAAAUUGUUUGGUGAAAUAAUUGGUUAAGAACCUAUCCAUAGGUGCAUAAGGGUUGGCCGAGCCACACUCAUGCCCAUA